rnacentral:lncRNA from 1 species
AUGGAGGCGCCGUCCCCGUCGCCGGCAAAAUCGCAGCAGAUCGGCAGCCCCCGGCCAGGUCAGCGGCAGCCGGCGCCGGAGCGCGCUCCACCGAGAGCCGGACUGGAGCCACCGCCGACGAAUGUGAGCCGCCGCCGACCCGAUGCCGUCGUCGCCGACGAGCCCACGCCAGAGAAGCCCGUCACCGGCCAUCCGCCUAUGCCCGAGCGGCAUCGGCGUCGACCGAGCCCGUCACCGAGCCCCACCACCGCGCCAUCGCCGCGCCGUCCCCGUCCCCGCGACCUCGCCGUCCCACCGCGACAAUUGUCGCCACGCCCACGCCGGGGCGAGAUAGAGCCGAGGAGGAUGGCCCCGCCGCCGCCAUCCCAGCGCGUCGCCCGUCUUUGCCGGCGACGAGCUCCGGCGGAUGAACUUGAGGAACGCGAGCUCGCUCCGCUCCCCUCUGAACAUGUGAAACACCACCUUAUUGACGUGCACUCGAUUGGGCCGACGUCAUGCCAGAACUUGAGAUUGAGCUUGCCGAUCACUAAGCUCACACACCUCGAUGGUGGUAUUGCCGAUCUCCAGCUCGUGCAUUCUUGGUUCCAAGUAGCCCAGGACUCGCAGCUCUGUGGCGUAACCAAUCUUGACCCUUGUGCGGCAAAAGAUUUCGCCGGGGAAACCCAUGAACGUCUUCCACAGGAUGAGGCGGUCGAGGCGCGGGGCGACGACCAAGGCGAUCUCCUGCGCCAGCGACAUCCAGAAGAGCACGCAGCGGAGGGUGCGGCUGCGCACGCGGAUGUGAGCGGGGGAGUAGGAGUUGGAGACGAGCGCGAGCGUCUCCAGGACGGGGCUGCACUGGAGCAAGCCGUCGAGGUCCUGGGCGUCGAUGCUGAUGAAGCAGAGGCCGAGCUCCCGGAGGUGCGGGAAGACGUGGGGGCCGCGCGCGCCGCCGGGGAUGCCCGGGAAGGUCCAGAACGCGAGGUAGAGGCUGCGGAGGGAAGGGAUGCGGAGGAUAUCGACGGGGAGGGGCAGGUCGAGCGGGUAGGGGCGGUUGGCGAAGACGAGGUCCUGGACGCCAUUGGCGGCGAGGAGGCUGAGCCACAUCUCAGGAAGGAGAGCAGCAUCUUGGCCUCCUGUCGAACUCCAAAUCGAACCUUCAUAGCCAGGACCUUGACAGUUGGAACCAUGGUGCCAGGGCUCGGCUUUGUCCCAGCCUAUAGUUUCAUGUGCAAUUCGCAAUCAGAACACAAUUCACAAUGCCAUGAAUCACUAGACACACACAAAAUUACAAAGCAUAUAUACAAGCAAGACCUCGAUGACGGUGUUGGCGAUCUCGAGCACGUGGAUUCUUGGCUCCAAGUAGCCGAGCACCUUGAGCUCUGGGGUGUAGCCGAUCUUGACCCUGGUGCGGAAAUCACGGCGGACACGGCGGGUGCAGGGGCACCCGUUCCACAGGAUGAGCCGCUCGAGCCGCGGGGCGACGACCACGGCGAGCUCCUCCGCGAUGGACAUCCAGAAGAGCACGCAGCGGAGGCUGCGGCUGCGGACGCGGACGUUGGGCUGCGUGUUGUAGCUGACGACGAACGCGAGCGUCUCCAGCGCGGGGCUGCACUGGAGCAGGCGGUCGAGGUCCUUGGCCUUGAUGUCGGUGCGGCAGAUGCCGAGCUCGACGAGGUUGGGGAAGACGUCGGCGCCGGGGCGGAGGUGCUCGGUGUCGGGGAACGACCUCCAGAGGCCAAGGUAGAGGCGGCGGAGGGAGGAGACGCGGAGGACAUCGGCGGGGGGCUCGACCCGUACCGGCCAGGCGUGGAGGAAGACGAGGACGAGCUCCUGGACGCCCUUGGCGGCGAGGACGCCGAGCCAGCGCGAGAGCGCGGCGGCGCCGCGGGAGCCCGCGUAGCUGCAGGCGUUCGUGAGGCGGACGCACCGGAACGGGCCCGG